GCAGUAGCCGCGGUAACACCAGCACCUCGAGUGGUCAGGAGGUUUAUUGGGCCUAAAGCAUCCGUAGCCGGUUGCAUAAGUUUUCGGUUAAAUCUAUGCGCUUAACGUAUAGGCCGCCGAAAAUACUGUGCAGCUAGGGAGUGGGAGAGGUACACGGUACUCGAUAGGAAGGGGUAAAAUCCUUUGAUCUAUUGAUGACCACCUGUGGCGAAGGCGGUGUACCAGAACACGUUCGACGGUGAGGGAUGAAAGCUGGGGGAGCAAACCGGAUUAGAUACCCCUGUAGUCCCUGUCUCUUAUAC
rnacentral:rRNA from 1 species